rnacentral:rRNA from 1 species
AGGAUAAACGCUGGCGGCGUGCCUAACACAUGCAAGUCGAACGCGCUUUCGGGCUUCGGUGCGAGAGCGAGUGGCGGACGGGUGAGUAACACAUGGGUACCUGCCUUUCAGUGAGGGAUACCGGCGAGAAAUCGCCGACAAUACCGCAUGGGCUUGUGGGAACACAAGCAAAGUGGCGCAAGCCACGCUGGAAGAUGGGCCUGUGGCCGAUUAGCUAGUUGGGGGGUAACGGCCUCCCAAGGCGACGAUCGGUAGCUGGUCUGAGAGGACGAUCAGCCACACUGGGAUUGAGAACGGCCCAGACUCCUACGGGGGCAGCAGUGAGGAAUUUUCCGCAAUGGAGGCAACUCUGACGGAGCAACGCCGCGUGCAGGAGGAAGGUUUUCGGAUCGUAAACUGCUUUUCUCGGGGACGAGCAAGGACGGUACCCGAGGAAGAAGCCCCGGCUAACUACGUGCCAGCAGCCGC